rnacentral:lncRNA from 1 species
GAAAAAGAAAGAAAAUAAGGAGGAAAUAUUGGAGGAAAAUGUUGAUGGUGAAGUGGGGGAGUGGAGUAAGGAGGAAGAAGUUGAAAAUAACGAAAAGAAUGGUGAAGUUAAAAAGAAAAAAAGUGUGGAGAUGGAGAAAAAUACGAUUGAUGAAGUAAGGGGGGAGGAAGUGAAAAAGCCUAGAUGGAGGAGUGCUAGAGUUGCAAAGGGAAAGGAGGUAGUGAGCACUACUCCAAUCCAAAACCUACCUUAUCCUCAUG